rnacentral:rRNA from 1 species
AGUGAACGCUGGCGGUAGGCCUAACACAUGCAAGUCGAACGGCAGCACAGUAAGAGCUUGCUCUUACGGGUGGCGGGUGGCGGACGGGUGAGGAAUACAUCGGAAUCUACUUUUUCGUGGGGGAUAACGUGGGGAAACUUACGCUAAUACCGCAUACGACCUACGGGUGAAAGCAGGGGAUCUCCGGACCUUGCGCGAUUGAAUGAGCCGAUGUCGGAUUAGCUAGUUGGCGGGGUAAAGGCCCACCAAGGCGACGAUCCGUAGCUGGUCUGAGAGGAUGAUCAGCCACACUGGAACUGAGACACGGUCCAGACUCCUACGGGAGGCAGCAGUGGGGAAUAUUGGACAAUGGGCGCAAGCCUGAUCCAGCCAUACCGCGUGGGUGAAGAAGGCCUUCGGGUUGUAAAGCCCUUUUGUUGGGAAAGAAAAGCAGCAGGUUAAUACCCCGCUGUUCUGACGGUACCCAAAGAAUAAGCACCGGCUAACUUCGUG